CCUACGGGGGGCUGCAGUGGGGAAUAUUGGACAAUGGGGGGAACCCUGAUCCAGCCAUGCCGCGUGUGUGAAGAAGGCCCUCGGGUUGUAAAGCACUUUCAGUGAGGAAGAACGCCUGGUGGUUAAUACCCAUCAGGAAAGACAUCACUCACAGAAGAAGCACCGGCUAACUCCGUGCCAGCAGCCGCGGUAAUACGGAGGGUGCGAGCGUUAAUCGGAAUUACUGGGCGUAAAGCGCGCGUAGGUGGCUUGAUAAGCCGGUUGUGAAAGCCCCGGACUCAACCUGGGAACGGCAUCCGGAACUGUCAAGCUAGAGUGCAGGAGAGGAAGGUAGAAUUCCCGGUGUAGCGGUGAAAUGCGUAGAGAUCGGGAGGAAUACCAGUGGCGAAGGCGGCCUUCUGGACUGACACUGACACUGAGGUGCGAAAGCGUGGGUAGCAAACAGGAUUAGAUACCCCUGUAGUC
rnacentral:rRNA from 1 species